rnacentral:tRNA from 1 species
GGGUAUAGCUCAGUGGUAAAGCAUAUGCUUAGCAUGCAUGAGGUCCUAGGUUCAAUCCUCAGUAUUUCCA